rnacentral:pre_miRNA from 1 species
AGUUGAAUUGCUAGAUCACAUGGUAAUUCUGUUUUUCAUGUUUUAAGGAACUGCCAAAAUGUUUUCCACAUUGGCUGUACUAUUUUAUAUUCCCAUAAGCAAC